UACGAAGGGGGGCUAGCGUUGUUCGGAAUUACUGGGCGUAAAGCGCGCGCAGGCGGUCUUCCAAGUCAGUGGUGAAAGCCCGGAGCUCAACUCCGGAACUGCCAUUGAAACUGUGAGACUUGAGGAUGAGAGAGGUGAGUGGGAAUUCCCAGUGUAGAGGUGAAAUUCGUAGAUAUUGGGAAGAACACCGGUGGCGAAGGCGGCUCACUGGCUCAUUUCUGACGCUCAGGCGCGACAGCGUGGGGAUCAAACAGG
rnacentral:rRNA from 1 species